rnacentral:lncRNA from 1 species
GCACGCCGGGAUUCAGCCCCCCCCCGGGCAUGUCCUGCGGGGCGGCACCGGCCACAGCUGGAAGCGGGAUCGGACUCCCGGAAGCAGAGACACGCACGGGAGGGAGCUCAAGGGGUCCGUAACACCUCCCCCCCGCUCUGAGCCAGGGUCAAAUGUACCUAGAAAUGCCCCCAGAAAUGGCCGAUGCCCCCCAGAAACCUCGCCUGAGCGCACAACCUUUAGGGGUCUGCCUGGCCUUUGUCUUUUCUGAGGCAGCUGUGAUUUUUGAUAGGAGGGAUUUCUCCCCGCUGGAGGCCAGGAUGAAAACGCUUUCUGUGUGGGUGUCCGAAGGGGCUUGUCUGCCUCCUCUGCCUCCGCGGAUUGCCUCGCAUCGCAUUAGCCCCGCGCCGGUGAACGUGCGGGCCCCGCGCUCUUCCAUGACGUGAUGGGAUUGCCUGGACUCAAGGAAAUGUGACUCCCCCCCCCGCCCCCAUGAAAUUCCGGGCCACGGUGUGAGAUAGGAUUAGAAGUAUAUCAUUAUAGCAAUUAAUACUAUAAUGCCUCCAUGAUUAGUGUGCUACAUUGAAUUUCAUGGAUUUUUGCUCACUGUUGCCUAGAUUUCCCUUGGGUCCUCUAGACCAAACCAUUGUAUUCUUAGUAAAUUAAAUGUGAAAUCGCAGCAAUAUACUUAAUAAAUCCGCUAUAACCUCUAUAGCA